GGCUGUAGCUCAGGGGUAGAGCACUUGCCUAAUGUGUGUGAGGCCCUGGGUUCCAUCCGCAGCACCA
rnacentral:tRNA from 1 species